rnacentral:rRNA from 1 species
GAUUUGAGAUGGCCUCUCGCCCUAUUCAGUGUAACAGCUGUGGUAGUGGGUUUGGUCGCUCGCAUUUAAAUUGGAAGGGUAAUGGUGGACCGCACUUCUCCCUUAGUAGGACGUUGCGACCUGUCAAAUAAUAUCCUAAGUAUUUGGCUAAUUUGUCUGUUUUUAGGCAGUACUGAAAGGUAUUUCCUUUAACAGUUUUAGCCGUUUACAUACUGGAUAUAAUUGACAGUAACGAAUCAUGGUGUUGAGCCACUUACUUUGUAAGUGUCCUUUAUGGCUGUUUGCAAGUGGGUUGGUUAAUUAGUUUUAGUCGGAUUUUGGUCCGUCUAACUAUUCCGCCUACUGUUGGUAAACUGUUCCUUGGACAGUGCUUAUAACACCGGUCGGCAGCGAUUCAGGUUCAGGCUCUUAUCCGACCCGUCUUGAAACACGGACCAAGGAGUUUAGCGUGUACGCAAGUCAUUGGGUGUAUAAAACCCAAAGGCGCAA